UGAAAAGCCCGCUCGCCGGAAGACCAAGGGUUCCUGUCCAACGUUAAUCGGGGCAGGGUGAGUCGACCCCUAAGGCGAGGCCGAAAGGCGUAGUCGAUGGGAAACAGGUUAAUAUUCCUGUACUUGGUGUUACUGCGAAGGGGGGACGGAGAAGGCUAUGUUGGCCGGGCGACGGUUGUCCCGGUUUAAGCGUGUAGGCUGGUUUUCCAGGCAAAUCCGGAAAAUCAAGGCCGAGGCGUGAUGACGAGGCACUACGGUGCUGAAGCAACAAAUGCCCUGCUUCCAGGAAAAGCCUCUAAGCAUCAGGUAACAUCAAAUCGUACCCCAAACCGACACAGGUGGUCAGGUAGAGAAUACCAAGGCGCUUGAGAGAACUCGGGUGAAGGAACUAGGCAAAAUGGUGCCGUAACUUCGGGAGAAGGCACGCUGAUACGUAGGUGAAGCGACUUGCUCGUGGAGCUGAAAUCAGUCGAAGAUACCAGCUGGCUGCAACUGUUUAUUAAAAACACAGCACUGUGCAAACACGAAAGUGGACGUAUACGGUGUGACGCCUGCCCGGUGCCGGAAGGUUAAUUGAUGGGGUUAGCGCAAGCGAAGCUCUUGAUCGAAGCCCCGGUAAACGGCGGCCGUAACUAUAACGGUCCUAAGGUAGCGAAAUUCCUUGUCGGGUAAGUUCCGACCUGCACGAAUGGCGUAAUGAUGGCCAGGCUGUCUCCACCCGAGACUCAGUGAAAUUGAACUCGCUGUGAAGAUGCAGUGUACCCGCGGCAAGACGGAAAGACCCCGUGAACCUUUACUAUAGCUUGACACUGAACAUUGAGCCUUGAUGUGUAGGAUAGGUGGGAGGCUUUGAAGUGUGGACGCCAGUCUGCAUGGAGCCGACCUUGAAAUACCACCCUUUAAUGUUUGAUGUUCUAACGUGGACCCGUGAUCCGGGUUGCGGACAGUGUCUGGUGGGUAGUUUGACUGGGGCGGUCUCCUCCUAAAGAGUAACGGAGGAGCACGAAGGUUGGCUAAUCCUGGUCGGACAUCAGGAGGUUAGUGCAAUGGCAUAAGCCAGCUUGACUGCGAGCGUGACGGCGCGAGCAGGUGCGAAAGCAGGUCAUAGUGAUCCGGUGGUUCUGAAUGGAAGGGCCAUCGCUCAACGGAUAAAAGGUACUCCGGGGAUAACAGGCUGAUACCGCCCAAGAGUUCAUAUCGACGGCGGUGUUUGGCACCUCGAUGUCGGCUCAUCACAUCCUGGGGCUGAAGUAGGUCCCAAGGGUAUGGCUGUUCGCCAUUUAAAGUGGUACGCGAGCUGGGUUUAGAACGUCGUGAGACAGUUCGGUCCCUAUCUGCCGUGGGCGCUGGAGAACUGAGGGGGGCUGCUCCUAGUACGAGAGGACCGGAGUGGACGCAUCACUGGUGUUCGGGUUGUCAUGCCAAUGGCACUGCCCGGUAGCUAAAUGCGGAAGAGAUAAGUGCUGAAAGCAUCUAAGCACGAAACUUGCCCCGAGAUGAGUUCUCCCUGACCCUUUAAGGGUCCUGAAGGAACGUUGAAGACGACGACGUUGAUAGGCCGGGUGUGUAAGCGCAGCGAUGCGUUGAGCUAACCGGUACUAAUGAACCGUGAGG
rnacentral:rRNA from 1 species